rnacentral:rRNA from 1 species
AUGAACGCUGGCGGUAUGCUUAACACAUGCAAGUCGAACGGAAACGAUACUAGCUUGCUAGUAGGCGUCGAGUGGCGGACGAGUGAGUAACGCGUAGGAAUCUGCCUGAUAGUGGGGAAUAGCCCGAAGAAAUUCGGAUUAAUACCGCAUAAUCUAUUCGUAGUAAAGUGGGGGACUUUCGAGCCUCACGCUAUCAGAUGAGCCUGCGUAAGAUUAGCUUGUUGGUAGGGUAAAAGCCUACCAAGGCGACGAUCUUUAGCUGGUCUGAGAGGAUGAUCAGCCACAUCGGGACUGAGACACGGCCCGAACUCCUACGGGAGGCAGCAGUGGGGAAUAUUGG